AUACUACUCCCCCUGUCCCAAAAUUCUUGUCUUAAAUUUGUUUAGAUAUGAAUGUAUCUAAUCAUGUUUUAGUAUUUACAUACAUCCAUUUAUAGACAAACCUAAGACAAGAAUUUUGGGAUGGCAGGAGUACAGG
rfam:Hordeum vulgare subsp. vulgare, WGS project CAJW01000000 data, contig: morex_contig_2546880